CGCCCCCCUCGCCCGAGCCCACCACACCCCCUACGCCCGCGCCGGCACCCUCGACGGCUCCUCCACCGCCGCCGCCAUCUCCAGCACCGCCUGCCUGCGUGCCACAGCCGGAGAAGAGGAAGACCGUGAUCUACGUGCCACAGCCCGUGAUACGGUACGGGUACUUCCCACGUCGACCCACGCCUAAAGCUCCACCACCGGUGGUUGUCGUGAAUCAGGUAGAGCCAGCCGUUGCCUGCUCGGCCGCGGCCACGGCCCCCGCGGCCCCCAGCCGGGUCCGCCAGCAGCCCACGACCGUCGUCACCGGCGCCGGCGCCAGCCCCGUGGUCGUCCUCAACACCCGCGGCGCGCCCAGGGUCGUCCAGGUCGACGCGGACGGCCGCACCUCGACGCCGCCCGUCGUCCGUCUGCCGGGCGGCUGAGCCUGACGGCGGCGACGGCGGCGGCAUUGCCUCGCGCUCCAGAUCGCAAAGACAAUGAGCCGCUCUUUUCAAAGUUUCGCGCGCUUCAGGAGCGCGGGCCCCGAAUCCGCCGGCACAAACGGUUCUCGCAGCGGGUUUCUCUCUACGCGAACUGAAUACCUCGCGCACGCGGCCACUCAGACAUUCCGGCAUUUUGUUGUUCGCUGCCUCUAAAGGUUGCGCUGGGGA